GGAUUAGGCAUGCAAGUCGAACGAGGGAAUAUUCUUCGGAAUAUAAAUCGAGUGGCGAAAGGGUGAGUAAUGCAUAGAUGACAUACCUUUAGGAUAAGAAUAGCUUUGUGAAAACGGAGAUAAUGCUUAAUAAUUACGAAGUAAAAUCAAUUUUCUUCGUCAAAGGGGGGGCAGCAAUGCCUCUUGCCUAGAGAGUGGUUUAUGUCCUAUCAGCUAGUUGGUGGGGUAAUGGCCUACCAAGGCUAAGACGGGUAGCCGGCCUUAGAGGGUGGUCGGCCACACUGGGACUGAGACACUGCCCAGACUUCUACGGGAGGCUGCAGUCGAGAAUCUUUCGCAAUGCCCGAAAGG
rnacentral:rRNA from 1 species